rnacentral:rRNA from 1 species
AUUGAACGCUGGCGGCAGGCUUAACACAUGCAAGUCGAGCGCGAAAGCCUUCGGGUGAGUAGAGCGGCGAACGGGUGAGUAACGCGUAGGAAUCUACCUGGUAGUGGGGGAUAACUUGGGGAAACUCAAGCUAAUACCGCAUACGACCUAAGGGUGAAAGCGGGGGAUCGCAAGACCUCGCGCUAUCAGAUGAGCCUGCGUAAGAUUAGCUAGUUGGUAGGGUAAGGGCCUACCAAGGCGACGAUCUUUAGCUGUUCUGAGAGGAUGAUCAGCCACACUGGGACUGAGACACGGCCCAGACUACUACGGGAGGCAGCAGUGGGGAAUAUUGGACAAUGGGCGCAAGCCUGAUACAGCAAUGCCGCGUGCAGGAUGAAGGCCUUCGGGUUGUAAACUGCUUUUGUACGGAACGAAACGGUGAACUCUAAUACAGUUUGCUAAUGACGGUACCGUAAGAAUAAGCACCGGCUAACUACGUGCCAGCCGCCGCGGUAAUAC